CAGAAAGUGAACAGACAUUCAGCACGUUUAUACCUACAAAGCAGGAAUGCUAAACUUUGGCAAGCUGGUUAUUUCUUUUCCAGAAAGGCGAAAACACAUGUGCACAACCCUUUCCAUGUCAUUCUUGUGGUGCUGUGCAUCACACAUUUCAGUGGAAAUUGGAUAAUACUUUCCUCUGCAAGAAUUACAGGAAACAUGCCAGGAACUUUUAUUCCCCGAUUCAACGACCUGGAAUCAACACAGCAGGCUAAGUACUUCCCGGGCUAAGUACUUCCUUGCUGGUAUCUUACACAAAGAAAAUGAACAGAAGAGAAAAUAUGAGCUGCAAUAAUACAACUAAAAUUCAAAUGAGGAAUUAUGAAUAGUGAUGAGCAAACUGACCCUGUCAUAAUUUUCAGUUUGUUCACCAAGCUACAAAUCUAACAUUGUAAACUAAGACAAACAUUUUACCUUAUGAAGUUUUGAAGUAUCUUCCAAAGCUGGUGCAUGCACAUCACCAAAGUACACCCUGGAAAUAUGGUUUAACCACAGAUGAGUAGCACUAUAAGACAGAAAUGUGGGAAGAACCCAAGGUACCUCUUUGGUUCAUGCCAAUGGAGUAUGGGCUGUGGGUCAGUCCUGUGGAUACAUGACUGCCAUGUUAUGUAUCAACAGCAAUCAAACAAAGAUACCUGAUGGUCUUAUAUUUCAGGAGGGGGCCACAGCCAUAAUAGAGUGGCCAGUGAUCAUAAUGUUCCCAUAGCAGCAGCAGCAGCAAACUACGUGAAAAAGAAGUGAAGUUACCACAGAGCUCAACCCAGAAACUUUAUUCUUUGUUAAAUGGACUCUGAAAAAGGCACAGCCUUAAUAGGUUUUUCUCAUUCAAGCAUGACUAUGUAAAAUAUGAGCUGUGAUACAUACAGUACUCAGUGCCCUAUCUGUAUUCAGACACAAAAUACUUGGGAUCAUGG